GACACGGAACUAUGCGGUCACGGAUUCACGGAUUUGAAUUAUAGCAUUAAUAUCACCUUUAAGUGAAUUUAGGCAUCGAUUUGCUGUUUGUUUUUUAUUUUGUAGUAUGUUUUUUGUGUAUAUUUUUUAGCACCUGGUUGGAAGGGAGUACAAGAAAUACACAAGACACCAUCAGGCCUGAUCAGGGGUGUGUGCGUAUUCUGAAAAAACAUCCCUACCCCAGACCUCUGACAUCCUGUAAGAGCUCAGUAUCGAUUGAAAGACUUUGGGUGGAAAAUGAGGCUUUGAGUGGAAAAAUCUCAGCGUAGAUCAGAGCUCAGUGGAUUACCAUCAUACCUCUCUCACAUACCGGGAGACGAACCCUGGCAGCCUGGGUGAAAACAGGAAUCCUUUUCAAC